rnacentral:rRNA from 1 species
GACGAACGCUGGCGGCGUGCCUAAUACAUGCAAGUCGAACGGGCCUCCGGAGGUGCUUGCACCUCCGGAAGGCCAGCGGCGGACGGGUGAGUAACACGUGGGCAACCUGCCUUUGAGGCCGGGAUAACACCGGGAAACCGGUGCUAAUACCGGAUACGUCCUCUUUCGCGCCUGCGAGAGGGGAGAAAGACGGUCUUUAAGGCCGUCGCUCAAUGAGGGGCCCGCGGCGCAUUAGCUGGUUGGUGGGGUAAGGGCCUACCAAGGCGACGAUGCGUUGCCGACCUGAGAGGGUGAUCGGCCACACUGGGACUGAGACACGGCCCAGACUCCUGCGGGAGGCGGCAGUAGGGAAUCAUCCGCAAUGGGCGAAAGCCUGGCGGUGCAACGCCGCGUGAGUGAGGAAGGUUUUCGGAUCGUAAAGCUCUGUUGUGAGGGAAGAACAGCUUCCGGAGGAAAUGCCGGAGGUUUGCCGGUACCUCACCAGAAAGCCCCGGCUAACUACGUGCCAGCAGCCGCAGUAAAAC